rnacentral:rRNA from 1 species
AGCGAACGCUGGCGGCAGGCUUAACACAUGCAAGUCGAGCGGGCAUCCUUGUGGUGUCAGCGGCAGACGGGUGAGUAACGCGUGGGAACGUGCCCUUCGGUUCGGAAUAACUCAGGGAAACUUGAGCUAAUACCGGAUACGUGCGAGAGCAGAAAGGUUUAUCUGCCGAAGGAUCGGCCCGCGUCUGAUUAGCUAGUUGGUGAGGUUACGGCUCACCAAGGCGACGAUCAGUAGCUGGUCUGAGAGGAUGAUCAGCCACACUGGGACUGAGGCACGGCCCAGACUCCUACGGGAGGCAGCAGUGGGGAAUAUUGGACAAUGGGGGCAACCCUGAUCCAGCCAUACCGCGUGAGUGAUGACGGCCUUAGGGUUGUAAAGCUCUUUUCUCCGGGACGAUAAUGACGGUACCGGAGGAAUAAGCCCCGGCUAACUUCGUG